rnacentral:tRNA from 1 species
GGGUGUAUAGCUCAGUUGGUAGAGCAAUCGGCUGUUAACCGAUGUGUCGCAGGUUCGAAUCCUGUUAUACCCG